GAUGAACGCUAGCGGGAGGCUUAAUACAUGCAAGUCGAACGGUAACAUUGGAGCUUGCUCCAGAUGACGAGUGGCGCACGGGUGAGUAACGCGUACACGACCUACCUUAAAGAGGGGGAUAGCCUCGGGAAACUGAGAAUAAUACCCCAUGUGGUUAAUUUUUCUAAAAUGGUUAAUUAAAGGCUUCGGCCGCUUUAAGAUGGGUGUGCGUACUAUUAGAUAGUUGGUGAGGUAACGGCUCACCAAGUCGACGAUAGUUAGGGGGCGUGAGAGCGUGAUCCCCCACACGGGUACUGAGACACGGACCCGACUCCUACGGGAGGCAGCAGUAAGGAAUAUUGGACAAUGGGCGAAAGCCUGAUCCAGCCAUCCCGCGUGAAGGAUGAAUGCCCUCUGGGUAGUAAACUUCUUUUAUAUACCAAGAAUAGCUGGGAUUUAUCCUGGUAUGACGGUAGUAUAUGAAUAAGCACCGGCUAACUCCG
rnacentral:rRNA from 1 species